CCUACGGGGGGCAGCAGUGAGGAAUAUUGGUCAAUGGCCGGAAGGCUGAACCAGCCAUGCCGCGUGAAGGUCAGUGCCCUAUGGGCGUUAAACUUCUUUUGUGCGGGAGCAAUAAUGGUCACGUGUGGCCAGACGAGAUUACCGUACGAAUAAACAUCGGCUAACUCUGUGCCAGCAGCCGCGGGAAUACGGGGGAUGCAAGCGUUAUCCGGAUUUAUGGGGUUUAAAGGGUGCGUAGGCUGGUAGGUAAGUCAGCGGUGAAAUGCCCCCGCUCAACGGGGUGAAGUGCCAUUGAUACUGCCAUGCUGGAAUGCGGAUGCCGUGGGAGGAAUUUGAGGUGUAGCGGUGAAAUGCAUAGAUAUCA
rnacentral:rRNA from 1 species